rfam:Danio rerio chromosome 1, GRCz11 reference primary assembly.
UGAAAGGUUCUUUUAGGAACCAAAAACAGAUUCUUUUAAGAACUUU